rnacentral:rRNA from 1 species
GACGAACGCUGGCGGCGUGCUUAACACAUGCAAGUCGAACGGAAAGGCCCUGCUUUUGUGGGGUGCUCGAGUGGCGAACGGGUGAGUAACACGUGAGUAACCUGCCCUUGACUUUGGGAUAACUUCAGGAAACUGGGGCUAAUACCGGAUAGGAGCUCCUGCUGCAUGGUGGGGGUUGGAAAGUUUCGGCGGUUGGGGAUGGACUCGCGGCUUAUCAGCUUGUUGGUGGGGUAGUGGCUUACCAAGGCUUUGACGGGUAGCCGGCCUGAGAGGGUGACCGGCCACAUUGGGACUGAGAUACGGCCCAGACUCCUACGGGAGGCAGAAGUGGGGAAUAUUGCACAAUGGGCGGAAGCCCGAUGCAGCAACGCCGCGUGCGGGAUGACGGCCUUCGGGUUGUAAACCGCUUUCGCCUGUGACGAAGCGUGAGUGACGGUAAUGGGUAAAGAAGCACCGGCUAACUACGUG